rnacentral:rRNA from 1 species
AUGGAAAGUGUUCAAUUAGAACAUGAAAACGUGACUCAAUUGGUCUUAGUUAGUCUUCGGGACGGAGUGGAAGAAGGGCGGAGACUCUCGAACGAGGAAAAGGAUCCCUUCGAAAGAAUUGACCGAGGAGAUGUAUGUGGUGAAAAUCUCAUGUACGGUUCUGUAAAGGGACAGUAA